rnacentral:lncRNA from 1 species
AGCAUCCAGAGGAGAAACCAAAAUGGUGGAGAGUUUGGAAGUCUGGUCCUUCCAGGGAGCUGAAUGCCCAGAGGAUGUUGCGCUGGAGAAAGCUCGAGAGUGAUGGUCCCUGAAUCCAGGGCAGGGUAGGUUGUCCAGCAGAGGACAGUGGAGGAGUGUUGACCUUCCCAGAGGAGAGGAAACCAACCUUCUGUUCCCAGAAGAGAUUUUUCAAGAGAAACCAGAUAAGGAAAAUCUAUUUCUAUUGCUAAUGGUUCAUGUUAAACAUUACACCUCCAGGCAAAAAAACAAAACAUCUCUACAAGCCACAGCAUCUACUAGACAACUGUGAUGGAAACUGCAGAACCAUUCGAAUUUAGCAUUCUGAGCAACAUAAACGACUGGUUUGUAAUGAUUUGAGCAGCUCGAAAUGGGCAGGGUCUUACUGGCUCUGGGGUGGGAGAGUGAGCUCUCCUCUCAUUAGGGAUGUUUAAGCAUAAGGAUACUAAACAAAUAAUGCUGAAAUGUUGGAUGGGGUGACUUUGGAUCAAACCCACUCUUUAAAAUGAAAAUGCCUGGAUCUGACCCCAGAGAGUCCUACAGCAGUUGUGUGGCAAGGCCAGACAUCUGUGUAUCCUAGGAAUCCAGGUGGUUCUGAUGGGAAGACAAGAGCUGAGCACGUUCCAUUUGACGACCAUCAAGACCUGAAAGGACCACCACCCUCCUGAAAAACAAAAAACAAAAGCGGAUAAAAACAGACUUGUGGUUGCCAAGGGGGGAGGGGGAGGGAGGGAGAGAGACGGGAAGUUAGGGGUUAGCAGAUGCAAACUAUUGCAUUUGGAGUGAAUAAGCAAUGAGAUCCUGCUGUAUAGCACAGGGAACUAUAUCUAGUCACUUGUGAUGGAGUAUGACGGAGGAUAAUGUGAGAAAAAGAGCAUGUGUGUGUGUGUGUGUGUGUGUGUGUAUGACUGGGUCAUUUUGCUGUACUGCAGAAAUUGACAGAACAUUGUAAAUCAGCUAUAGCAGAAAAAAUAAAAAUCUUUAAAAAAAGGAAACA